AAAGCCAGAAAAAACAGGAGAAUCUCCAUCUUGGAUUUGUGUCUGCCAGAUCCACAUAAAAGCUGUAAAAACCAGCAGUAGAACGAGUCACCCAUCACCAGGCUGGGAGAAGCUUUUUUCAGCGACUUUUCGGAGUGACCCCGAGCCGAGGGAGGACUGAACAGACACUG